AGCUAGAGUAUGAUAGAGGAAAGCAGAAUUUCUAGUGUAGAGGUGAAAUUCGUAGAUAUUAGAAAGAAUACCAAUUGCGAAGGCAGCUUUCUGGAUCAUUACUGACGCUGAGGAACGAAAGCAUGGGUAGCGAAGAGGAUUAGAUACCCUCGUAGUCCAUGCCGUAAACGAUGUGUGUUAGACGUUGGAAAUUUAUUUUCAGUGUCGCAGCGAAAGCAUUAAACACACCGCCUGGGGAGUACGACCGCAAGGUUAAAACUCAAAUGAAUUGACGGGGACCCGCACAAGUAGUGGAGCAUGUGGUUUAAUUCGAAGAUACGCGCAGAACCUUACCAACACUUGACAUGUUCGUCGCGACUUUAAGAGAUUAAAGUUUUCGGUUCGGCCGGACGAAACACAGGUGCUGCAUGGCUGUCGUCAGCUCGUGUCGUGAGAUGUUGGGUUAAGUCCCGCAACGAGCGCAACCCUCACUUUUAGUUGCCAUCAUUAAGUUGGGCACUCUGAAAGAACUGCCAGUGAUAAGCUGGAGGAAGGUGGGGAUGACGUCAAGUCCUCAUGGCCCUUACGUGUUGGGCUACACACGUGCUACAAUGGCAUUUACAAUAGGAAGCAAGAUGGCGACGUCAAGCAAAUCCUAAAAAGAUGCCUCAGUUCGGAUUGUACUCUGCAACUCGAGUACAUGAAGCUGGAAUUACUAGUAAUCGCGGAUCAGCGCGCCGCGGUGAAUACGUUCCCGGGUCUUGUACACACCGCCCGUCACACCAUGGGAGUUGGUUCUACCUUAAGGCAAGGUUUUAAACCCUUGACUACGGUAUAGUCAGCGACUGGGGUGAAGUCAUAACAAGGUAACCGUA
rnacentral:rRNA from 1 species